CUGGCGGCGUGCCUAACACAUGCAAGUCGAGCGAUGAAAUCCUUCGGGGUGGAUUAGCGGCGGACGGGUGAGUAACACGUGGGUAACCUGCCUCGUAGAGGGGGAUAGCCUCCCGAAAGGGAGAUUAAUACCGCAUAAUAUAUCUUGAUCGCAUGAUUGAGAUAUCAAACGAGUAAUCGGCUACGAGAUGGACCCGCGGCGCAUUAGCUAGUUGGUGAGGUAACGGCUCACCAAGGCGACGAUGCGUAGCCGACCUGAGAGGGUGAUCGGCCACAUUGGAACUGAGACACGGUCCAGACUCCUACGGGAGGCAGCAGUGGGGAAUAUUGCGCAAUGGAGGAAACUCUGACGCAGCAACGCCGCGUGAAUGAUGAAGGCCUUAGGGUUGUAAAGUUCUGUCUUCUGGGACGAUAAUGACGGUACCAGAGGAGGAAGCCACGGCUAACUACGUGCCAGCCGCCGC
rnacentral:rRNA from 1 species